rnacentral:rRNA from 1 species
UACGGAGGGUGCUAGCGUUAAUCGGAAUUACUGGGCGUAAAGCGCACGCAGGUGGUAAAAUAAGUUAGAUGUGAAAUACCAAGGCUUAACCAAGGAACUGCAUCUAAAACUAUAUUACUAGAGUUUUGUAGAGGAAAGUAGAAUUCCACGUGUAGCGGUGAAAUGCGUAGAGAUGUGGAGGAAUAUCAGUGGCGAAGGCGACUUUCUGGACAAAUACUGACACUCAUGUGCGAAAGCGUGGGGAGCAAACAGG